CACGCUGAAGGAAAAGCAAUGACCCAUAUUUAUUAGUCAUAACCUCUCUUCUCUCCAUCUUGUCUUUUGAACUGUUCUGUCUUGUUGAAUUAAUUUUUCUCUCUCGCUCAAACACCUUUCCACCCCUCCCUGCGCUCACUCUGUACCUGUGACUGUUUACUCUUCUCACUCACACUGAAAUGACACCUCGUUUUCCCAGGAAGCCUCACACACUGUGGCUUUGUCUGGGCUUUUGUGCGGGACAGCAUUCCUAACACGGCUGUUCAUCUGCUGGAUGUCUUCUCAUGGAGUGCUAGGGGUAAAGGCGAACCUAAAGAGAAAGUGGUAGAGAGAAAGAGGAGGCGCAGGAUCUGGAAGACGCUGACAAAUCAGCCUCCCACCUCCUCCACCUCUAGUUUAAGAUUCCGAGCUUGACUCGCAGCCCGCAGCUCAUUAGUUUCACUUCAAAAUGGCCGUCUUCCUAAUGUUGUAAUUGAGAACAUGUGGGGGAACUUCAUUAUGCGGAUGUGGAGAUGUUCGAGCUAGAAGAACCGGUCUGUCCUAUGAUAAAACAGCACACAUACAAAGUAGCUUACCAUGAUUUUGGAGUUGAAGCCUUUACCCUCAUCUUUGAUGUCGUCAAAUUAGAACCUGCCCUUGUACUAGACACUCUGCUGAGAUUAAUUAAGUAGGCUAAUUACCAUACCAGGCGUGUGGCACCGAUCGAGGGCUUGAAUGUGAAAUAUCCUCCCCCAUUUCACUCUGAAUAUUAACUCUGACACCUUAAGGGACUGCCAAAAUCUCAGUGGCACCAAGAAAAGUGGAACUAAAGUGUGGAGUCUUUGCUGCUCGUUCCUCUGACCAUCGAGCAGCAAUGUUAGGCCGUGGAUUCAGUGUCGUCAUGAUAAUCUAACCGGCCAGCGCAGCUCAGAGCCAAUCGGAUCAGACAAAUAGCCCACAGAGGUAAUAAAAUGUUUAACCUCAGGAGUGGGAGCCGCAGAGUCACUGCACUGUUGGAACUGGGUUUCCUCUUUUCUUUCUACAUAUUUUUCCCUGAUUGAAAGCCAGAAAGAGGACAGAGAGACUUAGCAGAUUUUUCAGUUUGAUACUUACCUUCAACAGAAUUGAUUAGACGGCUCAUUAGAUACUAACAGCAUUAUUUUGUUGUUGGAGGAUUUCCAAUCUGACAGUCUAACUCUUUGUUCAAAGAAUCAUCUGCUAUUUAUUUCCUUAUACUAUUGUUUUGAUCUGCUUUAAGGCAUCUUGUAGCAAAUAAAACCGUUUUCAGACAUACACAGACACUAGAACAUUAGACAUUUUCUUGAGAGGCUAUAUCAAAGAACACAAAUGUGUAAGUCGGUGGCUCUCGACAUUUCCUGCUAGCGCCAUAGCAAAAUCUCAAACUAUACUCAUGUGAGAAUACAGCAGGAACGUGAGCGAGCAAGUGGGAGUGUUGAUGACGUCCCCAACGCACAACAGAUGCAAAAGAGGUUGGGCGACCAGUUCUAUAAGGAGGCCAUCGAGCAGUGCCGCAGCUACAAUGCCCGCCUCUGUGCUGAACGCAGCGUCCGCCUGCCAUUUCUCGACUCACAAACUGGUGUGGCUCAGAACAACUGCUACAUCUGGAUGGAGCAGCACCACCGUAGUCCUGGGGUUUCAGCCGGGCAGAUGUACACGUACCCCGCCCGCUGCUGGAGAAAGAAAAGACGACUGCACAAUGCCACGGAUCCCCGCCUGGGCAUCUAUGGCCUGCAGCUCGACGGCAGCCUCAUGUCCAAGGACGCCUUGCCCACCCAGAGCACCACACUGGAGGCGCUGCUGCGGGGAGAGGGUCUAGACAAGAGGAACGCGAAGAACGACGAGGAUAGUCUGCUGGAGAUCCAGAGGGUUCUGGAAGCAGACGCAGCAGAAGACGCUUUCAACGAUGAUGAUGACUACGAGGUGAACACUCCGAAAAGGAGACAUCGGGGCAAAGGCAGAGGUCGGGGUUCAGGCCGCAGGAGGACAGACCUGGAUGAUGACAAGCCAUACGUCUGUGACAACAAAAACAAACUAAAGCAGAACUCAAAAUCUUCGACCUCAGUCUGUGCAAAGCGCUACAGGAACCGUACAGGACUCAGUUACCACUACACCCAUUCCCACCUGGCGGAGGAGAACAGAGCUGGAGAGAGGAACAAGGUGGCGUCCAGAUCGCCCUCUGUACCACAGACUGACAGACACAAACGUCCAAAGGGUCCAGGUGGGACGAGCAUUCCCAGCAACUACUGUAAUAAAUGCCAGGGAAAGAAAACGGGUAAAUCUGGGUCUCCCUUCUCAGCCUGCCAAUGCUCAACUGCCCGCAGAGAAGAGAAGGAAGACCGGACCUUCACCGGAGCCGAGGAGCUUUUCGGCACCACCUCAGAGAGCGACACUUCCACCUUUCACGGCUUUGAAGACGACGAGCUGGAGGAGCCGGCCACAAAUAGCAACGGAAUAACCAAUCGACACAGAUAGAGCGAACCUUUAAGAUUUCAAGAGACAAUAUUUUGUUUUAUAUAUGGAUUAACCUCUGGCAAAAAUUUGCUGCUUCUUUUUCAAUGUUUUUUGUUUGCAGAAAGCACAAAGUGAUAAUUUCAGGACAGAAAUGCAAGUGGUAUUUUAUCUACUGAACAUUGUUGAAUAAUUUAUGAACUCCCUUUUUUUAUAUAAAAAUAUAUAUAUUAACUUUUAAGGCAAUGGACGACACUGUUUGUUGACGAGUGACUCGGCCUUCAAUGCAAAACAGAAGAUGAUUUUUGGAGUUUUUUCCCCCUCACUGGAGCAGAAGAAGCAUAAAUAUGACAAACAAAAAACACUGGAGUAAUCGGAGAAUUGAACAAGUGAAAUUUUUCAAGACGUGGAUAAUUCGCGUGGGGGUUGAUGAAUGUCACUGCAGACCCCUACUUGAGCUACAAGAUGUUUUUGAAUCAGCAGUGGCUGUUGCUAUGAAGGCCUCCUCUUCUGCUCUAACUUUGGAUGAAACUUGUAUGAAAAUGAAGGAACCAAUGAAAGGACUGCCACAGGCCACUGGAAGUGUUUGGAUGAAGAAAUCUAUUAACUUAAGUUUUUACAGAAACCGUGUAGUUAUAAAAUGAAAGGAGCACUCAGCACAUGGGCCCAGCGGGGGGGGGUCGACCAGUGAAGAAGAGGAUUUAACCCUCAAACUAAUGAGCCUUCAGCUCCCUCCUGGUUUGGGCCUGAAACAACUGACUGAUAAGGACAAACACGCUUCCACCUGUUCUAUAGGCUGUGUGGCUUAGUUGAACUGCUCCCUCGACGAUAUGUAUCGACCCCUUCUCAACAUUUGAUCUGUGACUACAUCCAGCUUCAUUUUAUCCUCUCUGCACUGUGUUGGAGCUCCACUGAACUAUGGGAACACUAAAGGCCAGGCCUUUGGACUGUUUAGUGCCCACCGGGUACGUUUGGGGCCCCCGCGGUCCAGCCUGCCCUCUCCUGCUCUGUGACUGUGUGUCUGCUGUGUGAUCCGAUGUGACACUAAGACGUCAUUAUCCUCAUCACUGUGCCAGCCCGCCGCUCUGCACUGGAAACCAGCCCUGACAGCCAUGACCCUCCAACCUGAUUGGACCAGUGACCCUCUGACCCCCAGCCAUAGAGAUGGUGCUCGAAUCCACCACUAUUACAUUCAGACCUCUGGACUACUGUAUUAAUACUCUGACAUGGAUGCAAAGGUUUUCUGCUUCUGUCCCUCUGUCUGGUUUUGCUAUAUCUCUUCUGCCGCUCUCAUCUCUUAUGGGUCGCAGUAAUUUAGCUUUUUUUUUUUUUUUUUUUUUCAUCUUUUCUCUGUUGUAUAAUAUUUCUAUGUUUUUAACUCUUUCAAGUUUGAUAAGUAUGACUUCUUGGGUUUGUUCAGACUGUAUUGAUACCUCUGUCCUGAUCAGGUGCACAAUAGCCACAACUACUCAGGCAUCUUUCAUUUCCUCUGCUGUUGAUUGUUCAGCCAUUCAGCCCUGAUUCAUGUGAUUGUAUUCAGUUGGCGAGGAGGGACGGUAACUCCACACAAGGAUCCCAUUAUAAUCAACUUCCAGGAGGGAUCCGGGACGCCACAGUCUCGUGCUAUAGGAAAAAAAAACAACAAGCUUCAACUCUCUGUCCCAUCUGUGCUGAAUUUACCCGGUGUCACGCUUGCCAUCCACUUUUUGCCUAAAUCUACAGCCUCAGUAGAUUUUGCCAAGAGUGAAAUUCAUCUCAGAUUCAUUUCAAAACAAUAUUGUUGCUACAGCUACAUAAACUCCUCAGAUCUACGUACUUACUGAGAAGUGAAAAGUAUAAACCCAUUUAUGUGACAUUUCCGUUGAGUGCUUUUCGAGGGCCCAUUUGCUUUAUGACAUUUAGAAGGUGCUUGAAGUACUGUAAAAAAAGAAAAGGCUUUUAGUUCUAUAGGUUGCACAUGCUGCAUAAGAGGUCCACUUCCUUCCAUGUAAUUAUUCAGUAUCACUGCAAUGUAAUGAUAGCUGCUCCGUUUUUGAAGCUAACCAUUAAUCCUAUGUGUUUGUUUAUGAAUUUCUUGUGCAUUCAAACCAACGUUCUUCAUUUCCCUCAGGGACCCUCCGCAUCGCAGUUUUAUCUCCUCUGGACAAACAGAGGAUCUGAAACCCGUCAGUUAUCUCGUCUUCGUCUCUUGUGUCGGUAGCUUGGCGUUUCCAAAGUUACAACUGUGUCUUCUAUCCGCUAACGUCCCGCCAGUCAGUGACAAGCGUGAUGUGUCAUCAGUCAUUACCUGCUCAAUGUUACCGAUCGUGUACAAACAGGCCUCGCAUGGUGCAGUUCUGAACAAAAAGGAGAAGCUCCAAGAUGCAAACGUCAGUGAUGUCCGCUUCGAAUAACGUGUCACCAAUCAUUGAAUAGCCUGUAUACCUCGUCAAAAGACAGCAAUAGGCCCCGAUGCUCCCGUGUCAAAGCUGCCACGGGAGGAGAGGGAGGUCCGGGGUGGGAACGGAGCCAGGAGGAGAUGAAAUGGACAUGAUCUGCUAUUUGUCUCAUCUUCAGCUAUAAAUACAAGGCGAACUGGAGAGAAUGAAGAAGUCUUCGUUUGUUAAACUAUUUUUAUUGUUCUGAGAAAAAUAAAGAAAAAAAUAGAGAAUGAAUGUUGAUGCUCAGCUGUGUUUUUCUGACAAAAGGUCAUGGGGUCGUCUUGAGAAGGCAGCUGAUGAGCAGAAGAAUCCCAGACAGGAUCAAUAGGUUGGAGUGACCCUCAGACUCGGAGCAGUCUGAGAGGAAAAAACACCACUUGAGGCUUUUUCUGAGUAGAGGUUGCUCUGGACUCUAAUAUAGGAAUGAGACGACAAAUAAGAAACUCCACUACAGGGAGUUAUUAUUGAUCGGUCGGUACAGAGAAGUAAGUCUGCAGGGAGGGAUUUUUUUUAUUAUUGGCAACUGCAGGAAGAGUCUUAGAAAAUGACUGAAGACAACUUCAAUAAGUUUUCUUUCAAUACUUCCCACAUCCUCUCGUCCAUUUAUUGACUGGGCAGCAUUUGGUUUUUAAUAACUUUAAAGUGCUACUCCGGGUUUUCAGCAUUGCUCUUCCAUAAAUUGGCAGUUGUGACCUAUACUGCAGUCAAAACACUUUGGCUUCACUUUUGGGGAGCUGUCAUGGCGUCUCUCUUUAUAUAUCUUUUUAUAUAUGGGUCAAAUCAGACUUUAUUCAGUAAUCUACAUUUCCUAUAUUGUAACUUUAUAUCACCUUUUCAUCAGAAACUCCAUCCUUGCCUCCAAGUCUUCCUAACUGCUCUACUAAUUUAAAAUAACCACAAAAACCCUGAUGACAUCAGCAGGGUUUAUUUUUCAGACAUAAUGAAAGUUCCUCCAGCACCAAAGAAGAUAUAACACAGCAUCCAUUUUGUUUUGCUUCAAGAUGAGCAUAUCAUUCUGUCAGACGGUCCAACUCUCUCAUUCCGAUUAAACAAUUUCAACUAUUGAUGCCUUGACAUUUGCUAUAUAACUAUUAGGUCUAUGUCACAGGAGAGUCUCCCUGGAAUAUAAUCCAAAUCACUAUGGUAACCCCUUGUCUUUAUCUUGAGUGCCAUCAUCAGGCCACAA